AGUAAAUAAUAAUUAUGAAAGCAAAAAAUUAUGGCGGUAUUUUAAGCUUUUCAGAGGAAUUUGCUCUUUAAUGGAUAAAACACCUUAAUCUUACUUAAAUUUGUUAAAUCAGUUUGUAUACCACUAUGAAAUUAAUUAAUUAUUUUAAUUAAUAAAAUUUAUUAAUAUUUUAAAAAAAAUUAAGUCAAGGUGCAGCAAAAAUUUAAGAAUGAAGUGAAUUACAUUUCUUUUAAGAAACCAGUAAAAUUAAAAUUAUUUUUAGGAUUUGAAAGUAAAAUUAAAAUAGAAUGUUAAUUUGAAUUAAGCUCUAAAAUAUGUACAUA
rnacentral:rRNA from 1 species